CGUAGGGGGCAAGCGUUGUCCGGAUUUAUUGGGCGUAAAGCGCUCGCAGGUGGUUCGUCGCGUCGUGCGUGAAAGACCCCGGCUCAACUGGGGGGCGUCGUGCGAUACGGGCGGACUGGAGGCCAGUAGGGGGAUGCGGAAUUCCGGGUGUAGUGGUGGAAUGCGUAGAGAUCCGGAGGAACACCAGCGGCGAAGGCGGCAUCCUGGACUGGUCCUGACACUCAGGAGCGAAAGCGUGGGGAGCGAUCCGGAUUAGAUACCCGGGUAGUCCACGCUGUAAACGAUGAGCACUAGGUGUCGGGGGUAUCGACCCCCUCGGUGCCGCAGCUAACGCGAUAAGUGCUCCGCCUGGGGACUACGGCCGCAAGGCUA
rnacentral:rRNA from 1 species